UUCAAGAUUUCAUUACAAAUUUAUUUUUAACAUGAUUUCAAGUGCACUCAACCAUUUAUAUACAAAUAAACUGCACCUAAACAAUAACAAAUUGUACAUAACUUUCUCUGGGAAUAUAUAAUAUUUGUAAAAAUCAUUAAAAAAAAAUCUUUUUUCUAGUCUAGGCCAUGCAGACAUAAAACAUUCCAGCACAAUUAUCAUACUUGGACUCAGAAAUUGACCAAUCAAAUUUAAUAUUGGAUUCUGCGUUUCAAGCAAACAUUUGUACUCCAAGUACAGAGAAAAGUUUUAUGAAGGAGGGUGCAUAUUAUUCCUUACAAUUUUGAGGGAAAAACAAGAAAACAAUUGGUUUGACCUUACUAUGGAGAGGUCUGCCUGUAUGACCGUUAAAUCUUUUUUUUUGUCCAAAAUUUAUCUGUAGUUCAAAACAGAUAAAAGUAAACAAAAAUAAAAUGAACAGUCAAUGACUAAUGUAUUUGAAUUUCUACACAAGAAAAAGACAUACCUGCCAACUGUCACUAUUUGCAGGGGAUUUCCCCCAUGGAGGCUCCCAAAUUGAAAUUUUGAAAGAGCAAUUUUGUCCACAAUUUAAACAAAACAAUUAAUUUUACAAUGACUUCAGGCUUAUAAAAGUAUGAAGAAGCCAAAAAAACAACAUUAAAAGGUAUUUGCAGGCCCCUAGAAGAUUUUUAAGGAUUCAUGGGGAUUUUGAAAAAUUGGCAGGUAUGAAAAGAGAAUAUUUAUUUUAUAGAAAAUUUGAUUUCCAAAUUUACUUUUGCAGAAAUAAGAUAUCAAUAAUUCUUCAAUUAAAAUUUUAUGCUGGUCCUUUUUUACAAAAUAAUUGCAUUGGAAUUGAGGUUAAUAACCCAGUUCAAAGAGGUUAAUAUAAAAACAAAACACUGCACAUGUUAUUGUCAACUCACAAAUACAUAAAUAAAUCAAAACUAUCAUAUCAUUUUUCAGAGAAAAUUUAAAAUAGAAAACAUCAACUUUAGAUUUGCUAAUUUCAAAAUAUUUAUUUUAAGUUUAGGUAAGUUGAAAUUUAAAAAAAAACAGUGAACAUAUUUUUAAUUUUUGAAAAUGGGAACACACAUAUAUUUCGGCUUUUUAACGAUCUAAUGGUGAAUUAAAUCAAAUAAAUCUAUGAAAAGAAAUUGACACUACCAAAUAACAAUUUUAUAUAAAUUAACCAAUCACUGACAAGUUAUUUAAAAUAAUAAUCAAUUUUCAUAUCUUAACACCUCUUUCAAUAAUCAUUUACUGUAAAUUCAGAAAUUAAAUGUGUGCACUUAUAAUUGCGAAUCCUUGACUACUGGUAAAAAUGCAAAAUCAGAUUAAUGCAAUUGCAAAAUUGUAUGAAGGAAAAUUAUUACUGAAAUUAUAAAUGUGACUUUUUAUUAUUACCUACUUGAUGUUUAGUAUUUUUUGCAUUAUUAAAAAUAUUGCAAUAAUUUCUGAAUUUACAAUAUUUACAGUAUUUAUAUAUCCUCUACAAUACAUAAGAUAGAUCUAAUGUAGAAUGAUGAAUAUUAAUAAUUGCAUCUUCAAAAUUGCAAUAACAAAUUGCCAUUUUAGUUAAUAUCGAUGUUUAAAAAUCUCACUUGUAUUAUGACAUUGAAACAAGUUAUUGCACAUUACACAAACAGACAAAAUAUAGUGUUACCUGUAUAAUAUGAUCCCCCCCAAGAUUGUGUCCAGAUUACAGUUUUACACAGGUUACAUUACCAAUCUGAGGAGGACUUGAAUAACAUUACAAUUUAUAGAAUCUAAGUGUACUGAAUGGAAAUACUUGCUUUACUUUCAAUGUAAGGGUAAUAAAUUCAACAUAGCCUUGUAAUAGCACUGUAAGAAAUGUUUUUUUUAUUUUUAAUUUGAGUUAUCUUUCUUUGCCCAUAUAUGUAGUUGAAUCUAUUUUUAGAACCCAUCUAUUCAUAUACUAUGCACAUCUUGUGUAAUUUUCUAUAAAAUAGUUGUUUUGGAAAUUAGGGUUAUGCAUAUAAACAUUAUUUUGUAACUUGAAUGUCUGAGUAUAUAUCAAUAAUAAUUUACUUGUGGAUAGGAUCUUAAGAAUGUUUCUUUCACUACACUAUGUUGUAUGUGCUCUCAAAGGAAGAUAUGAGGCUCUUGAAAUAAAUACUUAAGGUGGCAAGAAGAUUUUGAAUGAAUUUCAUGCAAUUUUAACCCCCAAUAAAUAUACCACACAAAACACAAAAUACACAAAUAAAUAAAAACAUUUAUAAAGCAAAAUAAAGGUACUAAGAAAAUCAAAUAAAGAUAUAAAUAAUAGUUUUUAACAUUAAUGUAUUGCUGAAAAAUAUAUUAAUAAAUUGUGAGAAUGCUGAAAGGCUGAACAUUAUACAUCUUUAAAGUGCUUUGCAGAAAAAAAGUUACACUUUGGAUUUAGGUUUCAUUUAAUAAAUUAAGUUUGUCUCAAAAAGUGAAGGUUGUCAAAAGAAAUUUAAAUGGUCAAAAGGUCAAAUUAAGUUAUAUGAUUUUUAUACAUAGAAAUGAAACAAUAUACAUAUCUUUCUUAGAUUUUACUGCUAGCACAAUUUAUUUACUUUGGAUUUAGUUUUCUUCAUUGAAAGACAUGUAGCAAUAAUAUUUCACACUAUGACCUUUGAACAAAAGCCAUUUGAUCUCAGACAUCACAUUUAUACACACAAUACCACAUAUAAACACAAUCAUUAAUACAUAUUGCUUUUGAUGAAGACGUUAUUAAUUGUGUAAUUCACAUUUCAACAUUCAGUUAUUAUAACUCCGCUAAAUCCCAUUUCAGUUUUGUAUGAUGAGAUGAAAAUAAUCGUUUUUGAACAUGCAAAGUGACCAUAAAAGAACACUUUUAUUUAAGAAUCAUUUAGCCAAAAUCAAAUACAUUUCUAACAUAUUUUAACAAUAAGAAGUGGAAAAAAAUGAAAUCCAAUAAGAAGUUGAUAAACUUGAAACAAUUGAAACAAUAAAAUGUACGUCAAUUUUUAACUCCACUGUCAGUUCACUGUUUUAACAUGGGUACCAAUUUUCAUGGAUUGAGUAAAAUUGCAUACUGGAUUUUAUCUGUUUUAAAAAUUUACAUUCAUCCCCUCAGAAAAUGACCAUUUUAUAGAACACUUAACAGUUAACUUUGUGGAUAACCACAGUAUUUAUUUCACAAAGUUUAUAAGUAUCAAUUGUUCAGUCAGUGGUAUUGUUCUUUAUUUAUUGUGUAUAUAAUUCAAAACACAAAAAUACAUGAAAUAUUUGUACAAAAUCUAGACUUUUGGCUUUAUAUUUGAUAUGUGUCUAUUAAACACAGGCUUGCCAAAUAAAAGUAACCUAUUUUUGUCAUUUAGACUACUUCCCUUUACUAGCAGACGUAUUUUUAACAAUUUUGCAGAAACAGACCCAUAGCCAUUUAAAUACUUUCUUUGAAUUUCAAAUUGACGAUUUUAGAGUCUUAAGGAAUAUGGGUUAUUUCAAUGUUAAUACCCCAAAAUGAAAAUAGUCAUUGUUUGAAUUUCCAUUGUUAAGGACUUUUUUAACCAAUCACAACAUUUGGUUGUACACCUUUGAAAAAAAUACCCAGAAAUUGCCAGAAUGCAUUAGAUUCUGAAAUAGCGAAUAUUUCACUCAACUACUUAACUGCUAAAAGCAGGAAGUCGACCACUGAAGUAAUGCCAUCUACAUGGAUUUUAUAUGAAAUGAUUUUGCAUGUAUUUGUUUAAAUAUUGAUUCAAUAAAACAAAUAUAUACAGGUAUACACAGAAUUUGUAUAAGGUUUAUAGCCAUUGAUAAUAAAGACCAACAUGCCAUUAAAUUACUUUUAUUUUUGUUGUAAAAAUUUUACAGAAUCUGCUUGAGCCAAACUUCUGAUAGAUUAAUUGUUUAACGCCACUUUUAUCACUAAUGGGUAUAUAAUGGCUGUCUGUUUUUAUUAGUGGAGAAAGCCAGUGCGCCCCAAGU
rnacentral:lncRNA from 1 species